UGAGCCCUAAUGAUUUGCAUAUGGUGUCCAAGUAAAUUUAUGUAAGGAGCACGGAAUAUAUGGAGCCCAGAUCACUCGAGCACCCGGAUUACCAGAGCCUUAGUAGUCUAUAUUUGUAUACGGGCUUGUACAUGUAGGAGUCAUAUAAAAGAGAGAAAGAGCAUGAGAUAUGGGAGAGAGAGAAUUUAUAGUAAGGAGAGGACAGUAACGUUUAUAUAGUAGAGAGGAG
rnacentral:lncRNA from 1 species